rnacentral:rRNA from 1 species
GACGAACGCUGGCGGCGUGCUUAACACAUGCAAGUCGAACGGUAAGGCCCUUCGGGGUACACGAGUGGCGAACGGGUGAGUAACACGUGGGUGAUCUGCCCUGCACUUCGGGAUAAGCCUGGGAAACUGGGUCUAAUACCGGAUAGGACUCCGGACUGCAUGGUCUGGGGUGGAAAGCUUUUGCGGUGUGGGAUGGGCCCGCGGCCUAUCAGCUUGUUGGUGGGGGGAUGGCCUACCAAGGCGACGAUGGGUAGCCGGCCUGAGUGGGUGACCGGCCACACUGGGACUGAGAUACGGCCCAGACUCCUACGGGAGGCAGCAGUGGGGAAUAUUGCACAAUGGGCGCAAGCCUGAUGCAGCGACGCCGCGUGAGGGAUGACGGCCUCCGGGUUGUAAACCUCUUUCAGCAUCGACGAAGCGAAAGUGACGGUAGGUGCAGAAGAAGGACCGGCCAACUACGUGCCAGCCGCCGCCGUAA